rnacentral:rRNA from 1 species
CGGAACGUGCCAUUGAGUGGGGGAUAACGUAGCGAAAGUUGCGCUAAUACCGCAUAUUCUGUGAGCAGGAAAGCAGGGGACCGCAAAGCCUUGCGCUCUUUGAGCGGCCGAUGUCAAAUUAGCUAGUUGGUGAGGUAAAGGCUUACCAAGGCGACGAUCUGUAGCGGGUCUGAGAGGAAGAUCCGCCACACUGGAACUGAGACACGGUCCAGACUCCUACGGGAGGCAGCAGUGGGGAAUUUUGGACAAUGGGGGCAACCCUGAUCCAGCCAUGCCGCGUGAGUGAAGAAGGCCUUCGGGUUGUAAAGCUCUUUCGGCCGGGAAGAAAUCGCAUGGGCCAAUACCCUGUGUGGAUGACGGUACCGGAAUAAGAAGCACCGGCUAACUACGUGCCAGCAGCCGCGGUAAUACGUAGGGUGCGAGCGUUAAUCGGAAUUACUGGGCGUAAAGCGUGCGCAGGCGGUUUUGUAAGACAGGCGUGAAAUCCCCGGGCUUAACCUGGGAACUGCGUUUGUGACUGCAAGGCUAGAGUACGGCAGAGGGGGGUGGAAUUCCACGUGUAGCAGUGAAAUGCGUAGAGAUGUGGAGGAACACCAAUGGCGAAGGCAGCCCCCUGGGUCGAUACUGACGCUCAUGCACGAAAGCGUGGGUAGCAAACAGGAUUAGAUACCCUGGUAGUCCACGCCCUAAACUAUGUCAACUAGGUGUUGGGUGGGUAAAACCAUUUAGUACCGUAGCUAACGCGUGAAGUUGACCGCCUGGGGAGUACGGCCGCAAGGUUAAAACUCAAAGGAAUUGACGGGGACCCGCACAAGCGGUGGAUGAUGUGGAUUAAUUCGAUGCAACGCGAAAAACCUACCUACCCUUGACAUGCCAGGAACUUGCCAGAGAUGGCUUGGUGCCCGAAAGGGAGCCUGGACACAGGUGCUGCAUGGCUGUCGUCAGCUCGUGUCGUGAGAUGUUGGGUUAAGUCCCGCAACGAGCGCAACCCUUGUCGUUAAUUGCCAUCAUUUAGUUGGGCACUUUAACGAGACUGCCGGCGACAAACCGGAGGAAGGUGGGGAUGACGUCAAGUCCUCAUGGCCCUUAUGGGCAGGGCUUCACACGUCAUACAAUGGUCGGUACAAAGGGUUGCCAAGCCGCGAGGCGGAGCCAAUCCCAGAAAGCCGAUCGUAGUCCGGAUUGCAGGCUGCAACUCGCCUGCAUGAAGUCGGAAUCGCUAGUAAUCGUGGAUCAGCAUGUCACGGUGAAUACGUUCCCGGGUCUUAUACACACCGCCCGUCACACCAUGGGAGCGGGUUCCGCCAGAAGUAGGUAGCCUAACCGCAAGGGGGGCGCUUACCACGGCGGGGUUCGUGACUGGGGUGAAGUC